rnacentral:lncRNA from 1 species
GGAGGCUGCACCACCACGUCCCGUGUCCUCGAAGAUGGUCCCUCAGAAGGCCCGCCCAGUCUGCACGCUGCCUUCCUGGCCAGUCUGAAUGCCCCCUGCACUCUGCCCUGCCCUUCCUGCUGUUCAUGAGAGACUCCCAGCUGCCUGAUGGUCCCAAGGCUGAAGUCUAUGGAUGGGCACUGGAAAUAAGCCAGGACACUUCUUACAGAGACUUAGGUUGCAGCAAAUGUCCUCAUUGCUUAAUAUGCUGUCACAAGCAUCUGAAACAUGACAGAGUUCUGGACAGAAAAGAUUAUCACACAUCCCUCCCCUUGAGUCACUGGUUUUUCUCUCUUACCAGAAAAGGGAUUUGAAGCUGGUGGCAGUGGGACACGGAUGCAUGUAUGUCUUAUCAUGGGGGUGUGAUAAGACAUGGAUGUCUGAGAAAAGUGACUGAGCUGGCACUCACAGGAGUUGCUAGCAUAACCUCUCCUCACUACCGGGGCGGUGCCCGAGUCCGGAGAACAAGACACUGUCAGUGGUCUGCUUGUCCAUCGCCCAAGACCCCUUUUCUUGGAGUCCAGGCUGCCCAGGUUCAAUUCCUGAGCAGAGAAUUAACAUCUCACUUCAAGCCAUCACCCUCUGAGAUCAACCGUAUCUCUAUCAGGAGCCUCUCUACAACACCUCAUCAUUGCCACCCUCCCUUCCCCAGGUAAGGGUAGAAGUAGAAGCAUGACACUCCGGGGGGUGGGGCGGGGGGGGGCAGGACCGGGUAUGGAAGGGGGAGAAGUAACAGAUGCCAAUUCAAGGUAAGCAGCUUUUCAAUAUGGGCCCACUUAUUUAAUUGUAAAGUUGUUUGGUUGGGGUGUUUUGUUUUGUUUUGCUUUGUUUCAUCUUGGUUUCUAUCUUACUGGACAAUUCUUUGCGGUUGUACCUGGCAAGCUGAGAGGAGGAAGUUGCACUUCUGAUCUAUUCCCUGAUGUCUUCAUAAAGAAACCAUUCAGGGACUUAGACCAGAGUCUAGAAAUAGCCUCUGAACAUUUGAUUAGAUAAUACACUAUAUGCAAUAUAUUAUGUAUUAUAUAUAGCACCACCGACUGUGUAAUGCACCCACGAUGUCAUCAUAUAGUGCGUAUAGCUUUAUAAUAUGACAUCGUUUAUUGCAGCUACAAUUUAUUGAAUAUUAACCAUGUGCCAGGCAUGCCAUUAAGACUUUUUCUUAGGUUUUCUCAUUAGAUGAUCUACUUUAGAUGAUGUAGUUUAUAUAAGAGUAAUUCAAAAUAACAUUUGGGGGAGACAGGAUUAAGAUGGCAGAACAGAAGGACUGGAGCUCACCUUCUCACAUAAAAACAACAGAAUUACAACCAAACGCUGAACAACCUUCAACCAAAUGGACUGGAAACUUACAAAAAGAUAUCCUACGCUGGAAGACACAGAAGAGGCCACAUCAAGAUGACAGGAGGGGCAGUUACACGAUAGAAGCAAACCCAUACCAGCCAGGUGGGAAGCCCACAAACUGGAGAGUAACUGUGUCACAGAGACUCACCUACAUGAGUGAGAGUUCUGAGGCCCAUGUCAGGCUUCCACGCCUGGGGUUCUGACACUGGGAGAAAGAGGCCGCUGAGCAUCUGGCACUGAAGACCAGUGGGGCUUGUGCACAGGAGCUCCAUGGGACUGGGGGAAACGGAGACCCCGUUCUGAAAGGUGCACACGGGCCUUCAUGUGCACUGGGUCCCAGGGCAGGGCGGAGUCUCUGAGGGAGUCUGGGUCGGACCUGACUGCAGUUCUUGGAGGACCUCCUUGGAAAACAAGGGGUGACUGUGGCUUGUUGUGGGGGAAGGACAUUGGAAGCAAGGGUCUAAGGAGUAUUCCUCAGCUUGUGUUCCUCUAGAGGUGGCCAUUUUGGGAGAAUCUGGGCCCACCCAUCAGUGCUGAGAAGCCCCAGGCCAAACAAUAAUAAUCCAGGUGGGAUCACAGCCCCACCCAUCAGUAAACAGGCUGCCUACAGACCCCCCAGGCACACAGCUGCCUCUGAUUUCACCCAGAGACAAAGCCCCACCCACCAGAGGGAUGGGAAUCAGCUCUACCUACCAGUGGGCAGGCACCAGUCCCUCCCAUCAGGAAGCCUAGAGCAAGCCCCUGUACCAACUUCAGCCACAAGGGUGGCAGACACCAGAAGAGAGGCUGCAACUCUAUUGCCUGCAAAAAGGACACCACACCAAAAACCCAUAAAAAUGAAAAGGUAGAGAACUAUAACUCAGAUAAGGGAACAAGAAAAAAAAACAGAAAAACAGCCAAGUGAUCUGGAGAUUAUCAGCCUCCAGGAAAAAGACUUUAGACUGAUCAUGCUGAAGAUGAUGGAAGACACUGGAAAUAAACUGGAGGCAAAGAUUGAUAAUUUACAGAAAACACUGAGUAAAGAAAUACAAGAUUUAAGACUUAAGCAGAGAUGCAAAAUACAAUAACUGAAAUAAAAAAUUAAUUAGAAUCAGCCAACAGCAGAAUACAGGAGGCAGAACGAAUAAGUGAGGUAGAGGACAGACUAGUGGAAAUCACUGAUGUGGAACAGAAAAGAGAAAAAAGAUUGAAAAGAAAUGAAGACAGUCUCAAAGAACUCUGGGAUAAGGUUAAACACACCAACAUCCAUAUUAUAGGGGUGCCAGAAAGAGGAGAGAGAGAGAAAGGGACAGAAAAAAUAUUCAAAGAGAUAAUAGCUGAAAACCUGCCUAACAUGGGAAAGGAACCACUCACACAAAUCCAGGAAGCACAACAAGUACCAUAUAAAAUAAAGCCAAGGAGGAACACCCCAAGAAACAUAUUAAUCAAACUGACCAAAAUAAAAGACAAAGAGAAAACACUGAAAGCAGCUAGGGAAAAGAAACAACACACAAGGGAACCCCAAUAAGGUUAUCGGCAGAUUUUUUCAGCAGAAACUCUGCAGGCCAGAAGGAAGUGACCUGAUAUACCUAACGUGAUGAAAGGAAAAAACCUCCAACCAAUAUUACUUUACCCAGUAAGGCUCUCAUUCAGAUUUGAAAGAAAAAUCAAAAGCUAAGAGAAUUGAGCCAACACUAAACCAGCUUUACGACAAAUACUAAAGGAACGUCUCUAGGCAGAAAAGAAAAGGCCACAACCAGAAGUAAAAAUACCACAAAUGACAAGGCUCACCAGUAAAGGCAUAUAUACAGUAAAGGUAGGAAAUCAUCCACACGCAAAUACACUACCCAAAUCAGAAAUCAUGAGGAGAGUACAAAUGCAGGACACUGGAGGGGCAUUUGCAAUUAAGAGACCAACAACUUAAAACAAUCUCGUAUAUAUAUAUAUAUAGACUCCUAUAUCAAAACUUCAGGGUAACUGCAAACCAAAAAUCUACAAUUUAUACACAGACAAAUAAGAAUUAUCAAUUCAAAUACAACACUAAAGAUGGUCAUCAAACCACAGGAGGAGAGGACAAGAAAA